rnacentral:rRNA from 1 species
UACGUAGGGGGCAAGCGUUAUCCGGAUUUACUGGGUGUAAAGGGAGCGUAGACGGAAUUGCAAGUCUGAUGUGAAAAUCCGGGGCCCAACCCCGGAAGUGCAUUGGAAACUGUAUUUCUAGAGUGUCGGAGAGGCAAGUGGAAUUCCUGGUGUAGCGGUGAAAUGCUUAGAUAUCACGAAGAACCCCGAUUGCGAAGGCAGCCUGCCGCAGCGUUACUGACGCUGAAGCUCGAAAGCGCGGGUAUCGAACAGG